UGUGUUGAAUGCCGUACUUUGACAUAUGGUGGUUUUCUUUUGCAAAUUGUGACUUGGAUAAAGAAUUGUCUCAUUGGCAAUCAUACAACAUUCUUUUACAGUUACUCAUAUCUUGACUUACAUCUAGAACUACAACAAGGUUUGUUACCGCGAAACUGGGUGACUUGUCAGGUUGCGUAACAAGAGCCUGACUGAAUGGCCUCUUAUUACUGACAACUGUGUGAUGCACCUGAUAACACAACGAACGAUUGCUGUGAAUAGCAACGAGAAGUCUGGGACUGAAACUCUGGUGAAAACUCACUCUUGAGACUCUGGAACUAGCGAUGAAUAAACCAAUAAUUCAGCA